GGGGACUAUCCCUUUAAUGACAGCGACUUGAUCAAGCGAUUGAUCGACGGCUGCAUCCUGUCCAAAGUCGUCCGGAGGAUUGAUCGUGCCGAUCCCGAACAGCGGGUCUGGGACUCCCUAGGGUCCUUUCUCGAGAUAAACAGAUUCACCUUUCCCCUCAUCUUUGCUCCUUCAUUUUAUUAAUUCCCAACCUUCAUUCUGACUUCCUAGCCGCCCUUGCA
rnacentral:lncRNA from 1 species